GGCCGCGGGAAAUCGAUUGAGUUUGAUCCUGGCUCAGGAUGAACGCUGGCGGCGUGCUUAACACAUGCAAGUCGAGCGAAGCGUAUUAGCGGAAGUUUUCGGAUGGAAGCGGAUAUGACUUAGCGGCGGACGGGUGAGUAACGCGUGGAUAACCUGCCUCAUACAGGGGGAUAACAGUUAAAAAUGACUGCUAAUACCGCAUAAUCGCACAGGACCGCAUGGGGCGGUGUGAAAAACUCCGGUGGUAUACGAUGGAUCCGCGUCUGAUUAGCCAGUUGGCGGGGUAACGGCCCACCAAAGUGACGAUCAGUAUCCGGCCUGAGAGGGUGAACGGCCCCAAUUGGGGACUGAGACACGGGCCCCGACUCCUAAAGGAGGACCCAGUGCGGCACGAUUGGCACAUGGGGAAAACCCUGAGCGCACCACGCCGGUAGAGUGACAAAGUAGCGUCGGUAAAUAAGGCGAGAAUCACCAAAAAAGGGAAGGACGCCGACGUGAAACGCGAACCCGCCAGUAAAGAUGGUGCGCCGAAGGCCCUCGGUGGUGCCCGAAAAACGACCAUCAAAAGGCCGAGAAGGGAGAGAGGGGAGGUGGGGCGGG
rnacentral:rRNA from 1 species